rnacentral:rRNA from 1 species
UCCCAGACUCCUACGGGAGGCAGCAGUGGGGAAUAUUGCACAAUGGGGGAAACCCUGAUGCAGCGACGCCGCGUGAGUGAAGAAGUAUUUCGGUAUGUAAAGCUCUAUCAGCAGGGAAGAAAAUGACGGUACCUGACUAAGAAGCCCCGGCUAACUACGUGCCAGCAGCCGCGGUAAUACGUAGGGGGCAAGCGUUAUCCGGAUUUACUGGGUGUAAAGGGAGCGUAGACGGUGAUGCAAGUCAGAAGUGAAAGCCCGGGGCUCAACUCCGGGACUGCUCUGGAAACUGUAAAGCUGGAGUGCGGGAGGGGCAGGCGGAAUUCCUGGUGUAGCGGUGAAAUGCGUAGAUAUCAGGAGGAACACCGGCGGCGAAGGCGGCCUGCUGGACCGUAACUGACGUUGAGGCUCGAAAGCGUGGGGAGCAAACAGGAUUAGAUACCCCAGUA